rnacentral:snoRNA from 1 species
CAACUUUAUUAUACCAUACUGAAUUAACUAUUGUUUUAUUUUUUUUAAUCUUUUUUCCAUUUUUUUCACAAUGCUAUACAGCUCUGCUUUUAAAUCUUCAAAAUUUGUCUUACAUCAUGAAAAUUUUCUCAGUAUAAAACAUAAAACCAGAAACAUGGUUUUACAGGCCUUGCCCCAAUUUCUGAUGCUGCCUCCUGUUCCUGGCAGCUGCCCACAGGGAGGGUUCACAGGUAGGGACCAAAGUAGGGCUAAGCACGAGCCACCUUAAUGCAACCUUGGAUCUGAGA